UGUGUGUAAGAGACAGGGUUGAUGUUACUGGUUAAAUUUCUUCUAAUGGGUCAUGUUGCUUUUUACAUCAGCAUUCUAUCCCUGUGCUUCGGCUUUCAAUGCAUGAAAGAAAUAAUCAAUUGCCCUGAUACACUCUCACAUGCCCCCAAAAGUAUGACUAUGUUUGUACAGAGCUCCAUUCUUUUGAGAUAGGCAGAUGGAGUUCACACUGGCUGACACAGUACCACAUUCAAUGGAAGCUUUGUAGUGGGCA